rnacentral:rRNA from 1 species
CUGGGCCUACGGGAGGCAGCAGUGAGGAAUAUUGGUCAAUGGGCGGGAGCCUGAACCAGCCACGUCGCGUGAGGGAAGACGGUCCUAUGGAUUGUAAACCUCUUUAGGCGGGGAGCAAUGCCGGGCACGCGUGCCCGGAGGGAGAGUACCCGCAGAAUAAGCAUCGGCUAACUCCGUGCCAGCAGCCGCGGUAAUACGGAGGAUGCGAGCGUUAUCCGGAUUUAUUGGGUUUAAAGGGGGCGUAGGCGGAUUUUUAAGUCGGCGGUAAAAUGUCCGGGCUCAACCCGGGCGGGCCGUUGAAACGG